UUCCUUGAUCUUACUGUUUAAAAUCAUGUUAUUUAUGUCUGAUAUUGGAAGCUAAGCAGGGUCAGGCCUGGUUAGUACUUGGAUGGGUGACUACCUAGGAAGACCAGGUGCUAUAGGCAU
ensembl:rRNA 5S_rRNA 5S ribosomal RNA